rnacentral:rRNA from 1 species
UACGGGGGGAGCAAGCGUUGUUCGGAUUUACUGGGCGUAAAGGGCGCGUAGGCGGUCACGACAAGUCAGUUGUGAAAUCUCCGGGCUUAACUCGGAACGGUCAACUGAUACUGUCGGACUAGAGUGCAGAAGGGGCAACUGGAAUUCUCGGUGUAGCGGUGAAAUGCGUAGAUAUCAAGAGGAACACCUGCGGCGAAGGCGGGUUGCUGGGCUGACACUGACGCUGAGGCGCGAAAGCUAGGGGAGCGAACGGG